CACCACAGCUCACGGCAACGCCAGAUUCUUAACCCGCUGAGCAAGGCCAGGGAUCUAACCCACAACCUCAUGGUUCCUAGUUGGAUUCGUUAUCCACUGAGCCAUGACGGGAACUCCUUCUAAUGAAUUUUUUAUUUCAGUUAUUGUAUUUUGCACAUCUACUUGCUUAAGUUUUAUAUCUUGUAUUUCUUUGCUCAGUGUUUCCUGUAAGUUAUACAUCUUUUCCUCCAGUUUAUUUCCAAUGUCUUGCAUCAUCUUCAGCAUCAACAGUGUAAAGUCUUUUUCCUGGAGGCUGAGAAUCUCCUCAUCACUUAGCUGUUUUUCUGGGGUUUUUCUUUCUCCCUCAUCUGAGUUAUAGUUCUCUGUCUUUUCAUUUUUAUAGGUUUUUGGUGUGAUGACCUUUUGACAGAUAAUAGAGUUGUAACCUUUCUUACUUCUUGUGUCUUCCCCCCUUGUGGCUUGAAGUUGGUAUGGAGACCUCCUGAUGGGAGGAACUGAUGCCUGCUCAAUAGUAGGUGGAGCUGAUUCCUAUCCCUCUGGUGGGUGUGGCUUUGUCUCUGGGUGAGAUUGGAGGCACUGCUGCCUAGGAGGUCUUUAAGCAGCCUGUUAACUGUUGGGUGGGGCUGUGAUCCCACCUGGAUUGUUGUUGGCCUGGGGAUUCUCAGCACUGAUGGGUGGGGCCAGAUUUUCCCAAAAUGGCCACCUCCAGAGAAAGGCAUGCUGAUGACUUAUCUUUGCUUCCAAUGUCCUUCCCCCACAACAGCUACAUUCACCCCUGUUUUCCCAGGAGGUCCUCCAAGAACUGCAGUUAGGUUUGACCCAGAUUCCUAUGGAGACUUUGUUUUUCCCUGGGACCCAGUGCAUGUGAAAAUCUGUGUGUGCCUUUUAAGAAUGGGGUCUCCAUUUCCCCCAGUCCUGUGGAGCUCCUGGGCACAAGCCCCACUGGCCUUCAAUGCCAGAUGCUCUGGGGGCUCUUUGUCCCAGUGCCAGAUCCCCACACGUGGGAGAUUGAUGUGGGGCUCAGAACUCUCCUGUAGGUGAGUCUCUGUGAAACAGUUACUUUCCAGUCUGUGGGGCUUCCCACCAGGGGUAUAGGGUUGCUUGCAUCAUGUAAUUGUCCCUCCUACCUCUCGAUAUGGCCUCCUCUUUGUCUUCUGGAGUAGGAUGUCUUUCUGAAAGUUUCCAGUCCAUUUGGUUGAAGAUUGCUCAGCCUUUAGUUGUAAAUUUUGUUGUUUUUAGGAGAGAAGUUGAGCUCCAGUCCUUCUAUUCUGCCAUCUUAAUCCCCUGAAUUCAUUUAUUAAUUCUAAUAGUUUUUGUGUGGCACCUUCAAGGUUCUCUAUAUAGAGCUUCACAACUUAUACCAAACUGAUAGUGCUAGGAAAAAUCUUAGAGAAAACUUGGUCUUGCCUCUUUAGUAUACUGGGGAACUAAGUUCCAGAGAUGAGGAGUUAACAAAAAUUUCAUUUUAUAUAAACUGAAAAGAUGCUUUAAAAUGUGAAUGGGGGGAGUU
rnacentral:lncRNA from 1 species